rnacentral:misc_RNA from 1 species
CUGAAUACAGAUUAUACGUCACCAAUUUGGUAAAAGUGAUGAAAAUAAGGCAAAAGUGAUGAAAAUAAUAAAAAAACGCAUACCGAGCUGAUGGCGAUGGCAUCAACGGUGAGGGACUCGGAAGGUCUAUCGGCGGCACUCCAUCCACUGUUCAGUUCAAUAAUAAUCCAUAUAUAUUCUUCAUCAGAUCAAUCAUCGGUGAAGUUUUUUGUUUUUUGUUUCCGGCCGUACGUACAAACAUGUGUACAUAUAUAGCUUUCCGAUCAUCAGAUCUCAAGAGGCAGCAGCUAGCUAUUACGUACUUGUGUAGAGAAACCUUUGUGACUUACUUAGGCUGCAGGCCGCGGCAAGUAGAUCGACACGUCCAGCGUGGCCACACACCGAGAAGAGCUCCACCAUGCGCAUGCGACUCAUCGGCGCCGGCAGAAGCUUGCCGAUGUCGCCGUCCACGACGUGGCACAGGCAGGUGACCGUGUCCAACGUGAACAUGGAGCCGAAGCCGUCGCAGCAGGUGGCGUCGGGCGCGUACACGGUGGAGUUAUUGGUGAGGAAGCCCGCGCACGGCAUCAUCCGCGCCAGCCAUGGCCGGCACUCCCUUGGCUGCGGCGGCAGCUGUGGAAUGCCGCCGUCACCGUCACCGUUACCUGGAUCUGCGAUGGCCCUGGCAAGGCCUCCUCCCACUCUGCUCGCCGCUGAUGGUUGCAGGAUAAGGGCGGCCAUGGCGACCAGCAGUGUGGUGCGCUUGUUGCCUAGCGCCAUCCUCAACUAUAGACGCGCGCGGCGUGUGUUGAGAAUUUGUUCGAGCACCGGUUU